rnacentral:rRNA from 1 species
UUAAUUGCGAUAACGAACGAGACCUUAACCAGCUAAAUAGCCAGGCUAGCUUUGGCUGGUCGCCGGCUUCUUAGAGGGACUAUCGGCUCAAGCCGAUGGAAGUUUGAGGCAAUAACAGGUCUGUGAUGCCCUUAGAUGUUCUGGGCCGCACGCGCGCUACACUGACAGAGCCAACGAGUUCUUUUCCUUGACCGGAAGGUCUGGGUAAUCUUGUUAAACUCUGUCGUGCUGGGGAUAGGGCAUUGCAAUC